GAUGUUAAAAGCAAGAGACAUGGGAGAGCAUCAUUCCUUUGAGAUUUUAUAAAUCAAACCAAGUUUGGAGUUGUCCUGUCUGAUUUGGAGAGUCAUUAUUCUUGGUCUUCGCUCUUAGAGGCCACUGAUGAAGAACAGGCGGUGACUGGGAUGAAUCCUGGUCAGAGAGGAGAAUCUUCUUUGCCCUAAACAGCAGUGGUUUUAAAGGAGGACGCUGCCCUGGAUGAUGUAGAAGAUGUCACAUGUGCUGAUGGGGCUUCUUCAUGAUUACAUCAGUUAUGCUAAAGAGAUCAUGAAAAUUGACCGUGAUGCAUGAUCUGUAUUCAUGGACUAUGAAACAAACUGUAAGUGUAUAAUUUGUUAAAAAAAAAAAAAAAGUUAAAUGCUUUUUCUGUGUUGUUUAGUAGAAGAGUUUACACUCUGUCAUUCAUACACCUGCUCACAUUCUUUCACACACACACACACACACACACAUGUGUCUGUUAAAUGUUAUAAUAUCAAAGUUAAUGUUGUGAUUUAUUUGUGUACUGUCAUGCCAGAAUAGUUGGAAAAAAACCUAACUAAUUGUAAAUUUAUUGUAUGUGUUUUCGUAUAUUUUUAUACAAUAUAUUCAAUUGAACAAAGUCCAAUUUGAUCUUAAGUUAUAUUCAUCAAAUGUUCAAUGCUUUAUGAACUCUGUAGCUGUUAAUGCCAUCCUUUUCUGCAUUUCUUCUAACAUGUUACUUUUUGACUUUUCUCUUGUUUUUAAUAAAUAUUUUCCUUUUGAUAA